UUAAGUUAUUAAGGGCGCACGGUGGAUGCCUUGGCACUAGAAGCCGAUGAAGGACGUUACUAACGACGAUAUGCUUUGGGGAGCUGUAAGUAAGCUUUGAUCCAGAGAUUUCCGAAUGGGGAAACCCAGCAUGAGUUAUGUCAUGUUAUCGAUAUGUGAAUACAUAGCAUAUCAGAAGGCACACCCGGAGAACUGAAACAUCUUAGUACCCGGAGGAAGAGAAAGAAAAUUCGAUUCCCUUAGUAGCGGCGAGCGAAACGGGAAGAGCCCAAACCAACAAGCUUGCUUGUUGGGGUUGUAGGACACUCUAUACGGAGUUACAAAGGACGACAUUAGACGAAUCAUCUGGAAAGAUGAAUCAAAGAAGGUAAUAAUCCUGUAGUCGAAAAUGUUGUCUCUCUUGAGUGGAUCCUGAGUACGACGGAGCACGUGAAAUUCCGUCGGAAUCUGGGAGGACCAUCUCCUAAGGCUAAAUACUCUCUAGUGACCGAUAGUGAACCAGUACCGUGAGGGAAAGGUGAAAAGCACCCCGGAAGGGGAGUGAAAUAGAACCUGAAACCGUGUGCUUACAAGUAGUCAGAGCCCGUUAAUGGGUGAUGGCGUGCCUUUUGUAGAAUGAACCGGCGAGUUACGAUUUGAUGCAAGGUUAAGCAGUAAAUGUGGAGCCGUAGCGAAAGCGAGUCUGAAUAGGGCGUUUAGUAUUUGGUCGUAGACCCGAAACCAGGUGAUCUACCCUUGGUCAGGUUGAAGUUCAGGUAACACUGAAUGGAGGACCGAACCGACUUACGUUGAAAAGUGAGCGGAUGAACUGAGGGUAGCGGAGAAAUUCCAAUCGAACCUGGAGAUAGCUGGUUCUCUCCGAAAUAGCUUUAGGGCUAGCCUCAAGUGAUGAUUAUUGGAGGUAGAGCACUGUUUGGACGAGGGGCCCCUCUCGGGUUACCGAAUUCAGACAAACUCCGAAUGCCAAUUAAUUUAACUUGGGAGUCAGAACAUGGGUGAUAAGGUCCGUGUUCGAAAGGGAAACAGCCCAGACCACCAGCUAAGGUCCCAAAAUAUAUGUUAAGUGGAAAAGGAUGUGGCGUUGCCCAGACAACUAGGAUGUUGGCUUAGAAGCAGCCAUCAUUUAAAGAGUGCGUAAUAGCUCACUAGUCGAGUGACACUGCGCCGAAAAUGUACCGGGGCUAAACAUAUUACCGAAGCUGUGGAUUGUCCUUUGGACAAUGGUAGGAGAGCGUUCUAAGGGCGUUGAAGCAUGAUCGUAAGGACAUGUGGAGCGCUUAGAAGUGAGAAUGCCGGUGUGAGUAGCGAAAGACGGGUGAGAAUCCCGUCCACCGAUUGACUAAGGUUUCCAGAGGAAGGCUCGUCCGCUCUGGGUUAGUCGGGUCCUAAGCUGAGGCCGACAGGCGUAGGCGAUGGAUAACAGGUUGAUAUUCCUGUACCACCUAUAAUCGUUUUAAUCGAUGGGGGGACGCAGUAGGAUAGGCGAAGCGUGCGAUUGGAUUGCACGUCUAAGCAGUAAGGCUGAGUAUUAGGCAAAUCCGGUACUCGUUAAGGCUGAGCUGUGAUGGGGAGAAGACAUUGUGUCUUCGAGUCGUUGAUUUCACACUGCCGAGAAAAGCCUCUAGAUAGAAAAUAGGUGCCCGUACCGCAAACCGACACAGGUAGUCAAGAUGAGAAUUCUAAGGUGAGCGAGCGAACUCUCGUUAAGGAACUCGGCAAAAUGACCCCGUAACUUCGGGAGAAGGGGUGCUCUUUAGGGUUAACGCCCAGAAGAGCCGCAGUGAAUAGGCCCAAGCGACUGUUUAUCAAAAACACAGGUCUCUGCUAAACCGUAAGGUGAUGUAUAGGGGCUGACGCCUGCCCGGUGCUGGAAGGUUAAGAGGAGUGGUUAGCUUCUGCGAAGCUACAAAUCGAAGCCCCAGUAAACGGCGGCCGUAACUAUAACGGUCCUAAGGUAGCGAAAUUCCUUGUCGGGUAAGUUCCGACCCGCACGAAAGGCGUAACGAUUUGGGCACUGUCUCAACGAGAGACUCGGUGAAAUCAUAGUACCUGUGAAGAUGCAGGUUACCCGCGACAGGACGGAAAGACCCCGUGGAGCUUUACUGUAGCCUGAUAUUGAAAUUCGGCACAGCUUGUACAGGAUAGGUAGGAGCCUUUGAAACGUGAGCGCUAGCUUACGUGGAGGCGCUGGUGGGAUACUACCCUAGCUGUGUUGGCUUUCUAACCCGCACCACUUAUCGUUGUGGGAGACAGUGUCAGGCGGGCAGUUUGACUGGGGCGGUCGCCUCCUAAAAGGUAACGGAGGCGCUCAAAGGUUCCCUCAGAAUGGUUGGAAAUCAUUCAUAGAGUGUAAAGGCAUAAGGGAGCUUGACUGCGAGACCUACAAGUCGAGCAGGGUCGAAAGACGGACUUAGUGAUCCGGUGGUUCCGCAUGGAAGGGCCAUCGCUCAACGGAUAAAAGCUACCCCGGGGAUAACAGGCUUAUCUCCCCCAAGAGUUCACAUCGACGGGGAGGUUUGGCACCUCGAUGUCGGCUCAUCGCAUCCUGGGGCUGUAGUCGGUCCCAAGGGUUGGGCUGUUCGCCCAUUAAAGCGGUACGCGAGCUGGGUUCAGAACGUCGUGAGACAGUUCGGUCCCUAUCCGUCGUGGGCGUAGGAAAUUUGAGAGGAGCUGUCCUUAGUACGAGAGGACCGGGAUGGACAUACCUCUGGUGUACCAGUUGUCGUGCCAACGGCAUAGCUGGGUAGCUAUGUGUGGACGGGAUAAGUGCUGAAAGCAUCUAAGCAUGAAGCCCCCCUCAAGAUGAGAUUUCCCAACUUCGGUUAUAAGAUCCCUCAAAGAUGAUGAGGUUAAUAGGUUCGAGGUGGAAGCAUGGUGACAUGUGGAGCUGACGAAUACUAAUCGAUCGAAGACUUAAUCAA
rnacentral:rRNA from 1 species